rnacentral:rRNA from 1 species
UGAUCCUGGCUCAGGAUGAACGCUAGCUACAGGCUUAACACAUGCAAGUCGAGGGGAAACGACAUCGAAAGCUUGCUUUUGAUGGGCGUCGACCGGCGCACGGGUGAGUAACGCGUAUCCAACCUGCCCAUCACUUGGGGAUAACCUUGCGAAAGUAAGACUAAUACCCAAUGACGUCUCUAGAAGACAUCUGAAAGAGAUUAAAGAUUUAUCGGUGAUGGAUGGGGAUGCGUCUGAUUAGCUUGUUGGCGGGGUAACGGCCCACCAAGGCGACGAUCAGUAGGGGUUCUGAGAGGAAGGUCCCCCACAUUGGAACUGAGACACGGUCCAAACUCCUACGGGAGGCAGCAGUGAGGAAUAUUGGUCAAUGGGCGAGAGCCUGAACCAGCCAAGUAGCGUGCAGGAUGACGGCCCUAUGGGUUGUAAACUGCUUUUAUAAGGGAAUAAAGUGAGUCUCGUGAGGCUUUUUGCAUGUACCUUAUGAAUAAGGACCGGCUAAUUCCGUGCCAGCAGCCGCGGUAAUACGGAAGGUCCGGGCGUUAUCCGGAUUUAUUGGGUUUAAAGGGAGCGUAGGCCGGAGAUUAAGCGUGUUGUGAAAUGUAGACGCUCAACGUCUGCACUGCAGCGCGAACUGGUUUCCUUGAGUACGCACAAAGUGGGCGGAAUUCGUGGUGUAGCGGUGAAAUGCUUAGAUAUCACGAAGAACUCCGAUUGCGAAGGCAGCUCACUGGAGCGCAACUGACGCUGAAGCUCGAAAGUGCGGGUAUCGAACAGGAUUAGAUACCCUGGUAGUCCGCACGGUAAACGAUGGAUGCCCGCUGUUGGUCUGAAUAGGUCAGCGGCCAAGCGAAAGCAUUAAGCAUCCCACCUGGGGAGUACGCCGGCAACGGUGAAACUCAAAGGAAUUGACGGAA